UACGGGGGGGGCAAGCGUUGUUCGGAAUUACUGGGCGUAAAGGGCUCGUAGGUGGCCAACUAAGUCAGACGUGAAAUCCCCAGGCUCAACUUGGGAACUGCGUCUGAUACUGGAUGGCUUGAGUUCGGGAGAGGGAUGCGGAAUUCCAGGUGUAGCGGUGAAAUGCGUAGAUAUCUGGAGGAACACCGGUGGCGAAGGCGGCAUCCUGGACCGACACUGACGCUGAGGAGCGAAAGCCAGGGGAGCAAACGGG
rnacentral:rRNA from 1 species